CCCCGCUUUUAGUUGUCCACGAAUAUAGUUCCUUUUAAUUAGAGUGUAUUUUUCCUUAUUUUUUUUUUCUUUCCCUUCCUCACUCAUUUCUUAGAUUUUUUUGGUGGAAAUGAAAGAAGAGAGGUGAAAUAAAUUUUUGGAUGUUGUAUUUUAACUGAUUUUGAUUUGGAAUGAGUGAUUAGGCCAAGUGCAAAAAGGUAAUAUUUACAGUUUUCGGAACAUCUCUUGACUUGUCAAUAGGGGUAUGGAUAUGUAUUGGCUAAAUUUGUAAAAGUGAUUGGUUCAAUCUUUCUGAAUUUUGGAUAUAUAUUUGGACUAGGACUAUACAUUACACACAAAAAAAAUUUGACAAAAGUGCAAGGUGCAAUUUUUUUAAUGAUGCAAAAGGUUAUAAAGAACUGAUAGAGGAAUUAACUGUGGUCUGUGGCC
rnacentral:lncRNA from 1 species